rnacentral:rRNA from 1 species
AGUAAAAGUCGUAACAAGGUAACGGCGAGUGAAGCGGCAUGGAAGUAAAAGUCGUAACAAGGUUUCCGUAGGUGAACCUGCGGAAGGAUCAUUA